rnacentral:rRNA from 1 species
GAUGAACGCUGGCGGCGUGCUUAACACAUGCAAGUCGAACGAUGAAGCCCUGCUUGCUGGAUGUAUUCGUGGCGAACGGGUGAGUAACACGUGAGUAUCCUGCCCUUAACUCUGUGAUAAGCCUUGGAAACUCGGUCUAUUACAGCAUAGGAGCGUCCACCGCACGGUGGGUGUUGGAAAGAUUUAUCGGUUUUGGAUGGACUCGCGGCCUAUCAGCUUGUUGGUGGGGUAAUGGCUCACCAAGGCGACGACGGGUAGCCGGCCUGAGAGGGUGACCGGCCACACUGGGACUGAGACACGGCCCAGACUCCUACGGGAGGCAGCAGUGGGGAAUAUUGCACAAUGGGCGGAAGCCUGAUGCAGCGACGCCGCGUGAGGGAUGACGGCCUUCGGGUUGUAAACCGCUUUCAGUAGGGAAGAAGCGAAAGUGACGGUACCGGCAGAAGAAGCACCGGCUAACUACGUG